AAACCAGCACCUCAAGUGGUCAGGAUGAUUAUUGGGCCUAAAGUAUCCGUAGCCGGCUCUGUAAGUUUUCGGUUAAAUCUGUACGCUUAACGUACAGGCUGUCGGGAAUACUGCAGAGCUAGGGAGUGGGAGAGGUAGACGGUACUCGGGAGGAAGUGGUAAAAUGCUUUGAUCUCUCGAUGACCACCUGUGGCGAAGGCGGUCUACCAGAACACGUCCGACGGUGAGGGAUGAAAGCUGGGGGAGCAAACCGGAUUAGAAACCCCAGUAGUCC
rnacentral:rRNA from 1 species